rnacentral:rRNA from 1 species
GACGAACGCUGGCGGCGUGCCUAAUACAUGCAAGUAGAACGCACAGUUUAUACCGUAGCUUGCUACACCAUAGACUGUGAGUUGCGAACGGGUGAGUAACGCGUAGGUAACCUGCCUGGUAGCGGGGGAUAACUAUUGGAAACGAUAGCUAAUACCGCAUAAUAUUGAUUAUUGCAUGAUAUUUGAUUGAAAGAUGCUAUUGCAUCACUACCAGAUGGACCUGCGUUGUAUUAGCUAGUAGGUGAGGUAACGGCUCACCUAGGCGACGAUACAUAGCCGACCUGAGAGGGUGAUCGGCCACACUGGGACUGAGACACGGCCCAGACUCCUACGGGAGGCAGCAGUAGGGAAUCUUCGGCAAUGGACGAAAGUCUGACCGAGCAACGCCGCGUGAGUGAAGAAGGUUUUCGGAUCGUAAAGCUCUGUUGUAAGAGAAGAACGGGUGUGAGAGUGGAAAGUUCACACUGUGACGGUAUCUUACCAGAAAGGGACGGCUAACUACGUG